AGCAGCCGCGGUAAUUCCAGCUCCAAUAGCGUAUAUUAAAGUUGUUGCAGUUAAAAAGCUCGUAGUUGAAUUUCGGAGUUUGUCGGUUGGUCGGGCUUCACUGUCCGCACUGGCCUGAUGGAUUCCUACCUUCUGAAUAACCAGCAUGCUAUUAAGUUAGUGCGUUGGGGAAGCAGAGCUAUUACCUUAAAAAAAUUAGAGUGCUUAAAGCAGGCUUUUGCUUGAAUAGAUUAGCAUGGAAUAAUAAAAUAGGACGGCAUGGUUCUAUUUUGUUGGUUUCUAGGAUCACCGUAAUGAUUAAUAGGGAUAGUUGGGGGCAUUAGUAUUCAAUUGUCAGAGGUGAAAUUCUUGGAUUUAUUGAAGACUAACUUCUGCGAAAGCAUUUGCCAAGGAUGUUUUCAUUAAUCAAGAACGAAAGUUAGGGGAUCGAAGACGAUCAGAUACCGUCGUAGUCUUAACCAUAAACUAUGCCGACUAGGGAUCGGACGAUGUAAUUUUUAAUGACUCAUUCGGCGUCCG
rnacentral:rRNA from 1 species